GGGGCUGGAGCUCAGGGGCAAAGCAUCUGCUUUGGAUGCACAAGGUCCUGUCUUCAACUGACAGCAACUCCA